GCGGAGGAUUUUGUAUUCUCGUCUCUGAUUGGUCAGUUUGUGCAUUCAUUAUCAUUUCUCUUUUUGUGUGAACUGACGCGUAAGUCGCCUUUUUCUCUGCUAAUUUUAGUAUAAAACAAUAUAGUUCCCGUAUUUUACACUGGUUUAUUAUAGAAUAUUAAGAGACAGCAGCAUUUGCCGUCCUCGGGUUUACAGUUGUGUAGAAUGUCCCUGUUUGUUGUUUGCUGUUGUCGGUAUCGCUUCUCGGCCUUUUGGCUAAGAUCAAGUGUAGUAUCUGUUCUUAUCAGUUUAAUAUCUGAUACGUCCCCUACCCGGGGACCAUAUAUUAAAUUGAUUUUUGGAACAGGGAGAUGGAAUAGGGGCUUGCUCCGUCCACUCCACGCAUCGACCCGGUAUUGCAGUACUUCCGGGAACGGUGCACCCCUCUCUCUACUGUCAAAGAAAGAUACAGUCUGUGCAUCUGUCUGGCUGUGAUGUUCUCCAGUUCCAUGGAAGUUCGCGCUGUGCAGUUUGGUUGUGGAUUCCUGCAUUUGAGCUGUUUGUGAUCUCACUGACUUCACUGAAUGGUGUCUGUACUUUUACACAAAUCCUAAUUUAUCUCUGCCAUGAAAACCACACUCCCUACUCCGACUUUUGGCUGCAUUUUUAGAACCAAACUGUACCUGACAAACGCACAAUAAAGUCGUUUAUUUUCUGUAAACACACGUAGAGUUUAGUAAAUCUAAUCUGUCUUUAUUGGGCCAUCAGUCGAGGUCUCAUGAACUCCAAGGAAGCCUGAAUUAUAGCAUGUCAAAAGCAGAUUUAAAGGAUAAAUUAUAGUAUUUAUAGUAAGUAAACUAAAACCCAAAUCGUGGUCCUUGACACAACAAAAAGAUUUAUUUCGUGCGUGUGGCACCAGGUAUUUAAUCAGCGGCUCCAACUUGUAAUAUUACUGUUAUUAAAUUAAAUAUAAUAAAUUAAAACAACAAUCACAAUUUGUAAUAGACGGAACUAUGUAUCCGGAACUAUGUAUCCAGACUCCCAUUACCGGUCGGACAGAAAUUUCCGCUCUCAUGCGUGUUUGUUCAUAGACUGUGGUUAUAUAGUCACUUGUAAUUGCAUAAAGUUCACAGCGGCUUUUCUGCCCUGUCCCUUAUUUAUUCGCUAAAACAAUGAAUGGAAGUGAAAUGUCUUGUAGAGAAGUUGUUUUGUUUUGGCUGUAAGUUGCCGCCUGGGGGCGGGGCUAACUGUAAGCGGGUCUUUAAAACAACCUUCAUGAAAUUGGUGAAAAUAUUUUACUGACUCUUACUGCUUGUAGCAAAGCGCUCUUUCUUCUGGACUGACUAAUGUGAUUUUAGUGUACAUGUUUGGAUUAAAAAAGCAGUUUCCUGAACACUGUGGAUCUUAUUACAUAUUCAGCAGCAGUGCAUCAUGGGAAAUAUUGUAUUGUUUUGUUGCGAAGAAAAUAGACAACCACAUGGCUUUGUGUGUAAUAAAGGUUAGUCUUAUUUCUGCAGUGCUUUUAGACUGCAGUGUUUUAGCCUCAGAUGUUUGUGUAAUGAUUAGUGCUGUAUUCUUCACCAUGAUGGUAAACAGUGUGUGCUGCGGUGCAGUCGGUAGCCGAGGGUAAUGCAAUUCAUACUUACCUGGCAGGGGAGAUACCAUGAUCAAGAAGGUGGUUCACCCAGGGCGAGGCUCAGCCAUUGCACUCCGGUUGUGCUGACCCCUGCGAAUUCCCCAAAUGUGGGAAUCUCGACUGCAUAAUUUCUGGUAGUGGGGGACUGCGUUCGCGCUCUCCCCUGAUAUUCACUGUACUAAAAUUAGAUAAAGUAUUGCUAUUUUUCAAGUUUAUGUUGCUUGCGUCCCGGUUAGUCCGAUUAUGUGGUAACCCGGUGAAAUCAAGCAAGGUUGCAUGUACUUUACUGCUGGUUUAAAAAGCUACACUAGUGAGCAGAACAUGGCACUGCAACAUGCAGAAGUACAGCAUAAGAAACAACACACGACAGGUUGUGCUGUUAUAGGAAAACAAUCCAUGCCAGAGUCACCAGACAGAAGUUGUCAAUCUCGGACAAUUGCUUUUGUUUUUGUCUUGGUAGUGUCUGGUUUGUGCCAUAUAUUUUCGACUUUGUUGUAAUGGAUAUCACUGUGCUCCUAGGUAGGUUCAAAGCUUUGCUGAUCUUUUUCUAACCUUCUCCAGCUUUUUUUUUUUUUUUCCCCCCAACUUCCUCUCAAACUUUGUGGGCAGAUCCUUGAACUUCAUGACAGCAGGACUAGUCUCAUCUGCCAUUUUAACUGUGAGACUUCCUAAAGUCAGAGAUACACCAUAUUGCCAAAAGUUUUGGGACGUCUGCCUUUACAUGCACAUGAACUUUAAUGACAUCCCAUUCUUAAUCCGUAGGGUUUAAUAUGGCUUUGGCCCACUCUUUGCAGCUAUAACAGCUUCAACUCUUUUGGGAAGACUUUCCACAAGGUUUAGGAGUGUGUUUAUGGGAAUUUUUGACCAUUCUUCUAGAAGCGCAUUUGUGAGGUCAGUCCUGGCUCGCAGUCUCUGCUCUAAUUCAUCCCAAAGGUGUUCUAUCAGGUUGAGGUCAGGACUCUGUGCAUCCAUGUCUUUAUGGACCUUGCUUUGUGCACUGUUAUGCGGUCAUGUUGGAACAGGAAGGGGCACUUUACACUUGACACAAUGCAGUCAGGCAAGUACCGUUCUCCUGGCAACCGCCAAACCCAGACUCGUCCAUCAGAUUGCCAGACAGAUGCGUGAUUCGUCACUCCAGAGAACACGUCUCCACUGCUCUAGAGUCCAGUGGCGGCGUGCUUUACACCACUGCAUCCGACGCUUUGCAUUGCACUUGGCGAUGUAAGGCUUGGAUGCAGCUUCUCGGCCAUGGAAACCCAUUCCAUGAAGCUCUCUACACACUGUUCUUGAGCUAAUCUGAAGGCCACACGAAGUUUGGAAGCCUGUAGCUAUUGACUCUGAAGAAAGUUGGCGACUUCUGCGCACUGAGCGCCUCAGCAUGUGCUGACCCUGCUCUGUGAUUUUACGUGGCCUACCACUUCGUGGCUGAGUUGCUGUUGUUCCCAAUUGCUUCCACUUUGUUAUAAUACCACUAACAGUUGACCAUGGAAUAUUUAGUAGUGAGGAAAUUUCAUGAAUGGACUUAUUGCACAGGUGGCAACCUAUCACGGUACCACACUUGAAUUCCCUGAGCUCCUGAGAGCGACCCAUUCUUUCACAAAUGUUUGUAGAAGCAGUCUGCAUGCCUAGGUGCUUGAUUUUAUACACCUGUGGCCAUGGAAGUGAUUGGAACACCUGAAUUCAAUGAUUUGGAGGGGGUGUCCCAAAACUUUUGGCAAUAUAGUGUAUAUAUUGUGCAAGCAUACAACUGGACACAAGUGAACCCUGUUUAACAUGUUUAGUGUGAGCUCUCUGAAAUUAAAUACUGGACCUGAUUUAGACUGUUAAAAGAAAGCUAGGUGAAUAUUUAGCAAAUAAGCAGUUUGUAAACUUUCUAAUUUUUAAAUAAUUUGGAGUCCCUGUAUUACAUGCUUAAACAACAUAUUUAAACAUUAUUUUAAAAUAAUUAAACAUAAUCUCAACAUUGUCUCUAAAAUGACAGGAACACAUUACACUAAAUAAAUUUCUCUGCACUCUCAGUAGUUGGCCCGGGUGCAGUCACGCCAAAGCCUUCUGCGGUUUUGCCAUCCCUGUCUGCAGUCGCGCCCACGGCUUCUACAGUUUUAUUAUCCCCGAUUGCAGUCAUGCCACCCCAACCCACUGACUCCCCAGUUGAGCUGGAGGGUUGGGUGCGUCUGUGGGGAAAAUCCUAGUGGCAUCCCAUCAGCCGACAUCUCCUGGGUGAAAAGCGAUGGAGAGAGAGAGGGCUCUUCACCCCCAUUCAGGUGUACCGUGAUAACACCGGUGCACUGAAGAGGCCGGCGGGUACUGAAGUCAGACCGGGUGUGGUUUCACUUUACAGAACUUCCAGGCUACAUUAGUGGUGCUGUACCAACCGCACACGUUUUCUUCCGGAGUCGCGUGUUUGUGUGGCGGCCAGUUGGGGUGUGGAGGUUCUCUAUAUCUGUGAUGUAUCCAAUGUGGUAUACUAUGCUGACGGCGGUCUUGUGCUGUGUACCGUGCACCAAAGCAGCCAGAAGCGGGGAAGGUGGCAAGAUGUGUCGGUGGUUGGCAUGGGAUUCUGCUAUCAUGUGUCAACUCGGUGAAGCACACCAAGCCAUGUUCCCUGCUAUCCUGACAGACAAGCGUCGUGUGGACAAGAACGUGGUAAGACUUCUGUGGGACCGGACAGAACACACUUCAGACACACUUUUGAGGCUCCACCUCCUGCGAGAGAGCUGCUUCCUGCCCGUCUGCUCGGUCAUGCCUUCCUGCCGGCAGAGGCCAACAAUGUACGGGACUCCAAUUCUCUCCAAUUUUGGCACUGUGCUAAAAAUGAACUCCACUAAGAAGAAAUACAUUUGCAUGGCAGUACCAUCUAUAUCUCAGUCUGGAUCUAUCUUAAAAAAACUAUAAGGAAAAUCUUAAAGGAUGGACUCAGUCCAGAGGAGGAGGUGGUUGAGCCUGGCCAGCCUGACCCAGUUGAGGAUGACGAGGCGUACCAGAGUGACACAGAGGCAACUGACGACGUGGUGGCUUCUGUCCCAGCCCACAUAACCUUACCACUGAUGAGACCACUAUAGCUUGCCCUCCAGCCUUUGUGAGUAAUUUUGCGUUUACCUCUGCCAGAAUGCAAUACUAGCAUUUGCUUGUCUUUUUAGCCUGAGUGUUGGUUCUGUUCUCUGCUGAUGGAGAUUGGCCUGACUGAGAACAAGUUGAGCAUAACUACAGAAUAGAGGAACAAGCUCAUCGACACUUGGAAUGCCAUAGAGGAGCGUGACAAACAGCCACAAAAGUUUCAUCAUCAUCUUUUCAGCUUCAAAAAUGCACCAGCUCUGUGGGCUACGUGAAGUAUGUGGUUGACGAGCACAAAGCAGAACUCUCUAACCCGAGUGGAAAAAAUUACUGGAUAAAAAAACCAUCUGGCAGAGUAUGCAGAGAGCUUCCCGCAAGUGUCCAUAACCCUUGAGGCCAACACGGAUAAAUGUGUUUGUGUAUACGCUGGUCAAACUUCUCUGGCUGAGGUUACCUCACAAUACUACUGCGAGGCCUGGAAAAAAAACCAUCACAAAAGCCUAUGAGACAAUUCAACAUUGUAUAUUGGUGGAGGAUCCAGUUCUGAGCAAAGUGGUUAUUCCUUUACAAAAAAUCAACACCAAGACUGUCCGUGAUUUGAUCCAUCAUCAAGAGAGUCGACUCAACCUACAGUCAACAAAAAUGCCAUCCACUAUAUUAAAGACCAUGUCAGUCUCCUCAAAAGACAUACCUUCUGCACCAUGUCAGCCGUUGGUUCUCCCUCCACUUGACUACCCACAGACUGAGUAUGAACACAUUCCAAGCAAGGCAGGUACCUAGAUCUUGAAAGAAAGAACAGACAUUGUAAUGCCAGUUCCAAGGACUUCAACCCAGUCAGAACACCCUCACUUACCACUGCUGGUGAGAAGACCUGUUGGAACUGAAAGGAAAACUCUGGCCACUUCCACCAUCACCAAACUUCUGCCUACAAUCACUUCAACUACCACAACUACACAAGUGAUUCCAGACACUUCCACCAAUGCAGGACCUGUGACAAUAUCCACCAGCCAAACUGACACAUCACACAGAGCUGGCACCCCUUCUCUCUGUGCCAGAGCUACACUGUACAAAAGAAAACAUACAGAGAACCUCACUCAUGGUGGAGCCAAGCUGUCACGUGUACACAACUUGCCCAUUUGUAAACUUUGCAACCGACCAACUCAGGGGCACAAAAAAUACAAAAAGAAGACUUUUUGCCCUCUGAAAAUGAUGUCUACCUCAAAAGGAUUGGAAAACAAAGUGUACACGAGUUAUGAACAUUUCACCACGGUUGUAGACACACAGGAGUAAACUUGCAAUUGUUAAUGUGGACUUCUACUUGGACUACAGUGCUAGAACUAGUAUUGUGGCCUUUACUACUACUGUAGGAACGUUAAUGUGUCAUGAUGUUCCUUUUAAAAGGGUUGCACUGAUUUUAUUGAAUGCUGUAUUUGUUUUUCUUCAGUAUUUUCUAUUAGUGUAUUUAAAAUGUUCAUUUAUUUGAUCAAAGUCCGAUUUACAUGUGUGCGUUAAAUACUAUGUUCUUAUUUGAUUUUUUUCUAUUGCUGUGACGUGAUUAUCAUCACAGUGCCAGAUUUAUGGGUUUCUAUUGAAUAUUGUAUAAAAAUUUAUAUUCUUGUUCAGUAUUUUGUAUUAUUGUUCAAUAAA